UGGUUGUUGUGUUUCUGUUUCUGCUUUGCUUUUUUUUUUAAAAAUAUUACUCCCUCCGUUCCUUGUUUUAGACGUAUGCACAAGAAUUAAAGAAAUAAUUGAUAAGCAUUAACUAUAUUAUCAAUUGUCUAUAAUACGCUUCACCUCACUUAUCUCAUAAAUAUGGAUCAAAAAAUUAGGUGGAGUAAUAAGGGUCAAUUUGGGAAAAAUAGUAAUCAAAUCUCUUAGAUAAGCACAAACGACAAAUAAUUAGGAAUAAAAAAAAAGUCUAAAACUACCUACAUAUAGGAAUGGAGGGAGUAAUAUUUUAGGUUUUAUAUUGGAGUGACUAUAGCACAUUGCUCAGGGAUUAUAAAGUUGGUUUAUUGAGGUGGGGUUUCAUGGGUUGAACUCAAGGAAUCAUGGGUAGCUUUAGUGAAGAAUCAUCAAAUAUUAUUUAUGAAGAUGAGGAGGAGAUGAUAUUUAUUUUUAUUUUUU
rnacentral:lncRNA from 1 species